GACGAACGCUGGCGGCGUGCUUAACACAUGCAAGUCGAACGGAAAGGCCCUGCUUUUGUGGGGUGCUCGAGUGGCGAACGGGUGAGUAACACGUGAGUAACCUGCCCUUGACUUUGGGAUAACUUCAGGAAACUGGGGCUAAUACCGGAUAGGAGCUCCUGCUGCAUGGUGGGGGUUGGAAAGUUUCGGCGGUUGGGGAUGGACUCGCGGCUUAUCAGCUUGUUGGUGGGGUAGUGGCUUACCAAGGCUUUGACGGGUAGCCGGCCUGAGAGGGUGACCGGCCACAUUGGGACUGAGAUACGGCCCAGACUCCUACGGGAGGCAGCAGUGGGGAAUAUUGCACAAUGGGCGGAAGCCUGAUGCAGCAACGCCGCGUGCGGGAUGACGGCCUUCGGGUUGUAAACCGCUUUCGCCUGUGACGAAGCGUGAGUGACGGUAAUGGGUAAAGAAGCACCGGCUAGCUACGUGCCAGCAGCCGCGGUGAUACGUAGGGUGCGAGCGUUGUCCGGAUUUAUUGGGCGUAAAGGGCUCGUAGGUGGUUGAUCGCGUCGGAAGUGUAAUCUUGGGGCUUAACCCUGAGCGUGCUUUCGAUACGGGUUGACUUGAGGAAGGUAGGGGAGAAUGGAAUUCCUGGUGGAGCGGUGGAAUGCGCAGAUAUCAGGAGGAACACCAGUGGCGAAGGCGGUUCUCUGGGCCUUUCCUGACGCUGAGGAGCGAAAGCGUGGGGAGCGAACAGGCUUAGAUACCCUGGUAGUCCGCGCUGUAAACGGUGGGUACUAGGUGUGGGGUCCAUUCCACGGGUUCCGUGCCGUAGCUAACGCUUUAAGUACCCCGCCUGGGGAGUACGGCCGCAAGGCUAAGACUCAAAGGAAUUGACGGGGCCCAGCACAAGCGGCGGAGCAUGCGGAUUAAUUCGAUGCAACGCGUAGAACCUUACCUGGGUUUGACAUGGAUCGGGAGCGCUCAGAGAUGGGUGUGCCUCUUUUGGGGUCGGUUCACAGGUGGUGCAUGGCUGUCGUCAGCUCGUGUCGUGAGAUGUUGGGUUAAGUCCCGCAACGAGCGCAACCCUUGUUCACUGUUGCCAGCACGUUAUGGUGGGGACUCAGUGGAGACCGCCGGGGUCAACUCGGAGGAAGGUGGGGAUGACGUCAAGUCAUCAUGCCCCUUAUGUCCAGGGCUUCACGCAUGCUACAAUGGCUGGUACAGAGAGUGGCGAGCCUGUGAGGGUGAGCGAAUCUCGGAAAGCCAGUCUCAGUUCGGAUUGGGGUCUGCAACUCGACCUCAUGAAGUCGGAGUCGCUAGUAAUCGCAGAUCAGCAACGCUGCGGUGAAUACGUUCCCGGG
rnacentral:rRNA from 1 species